CCUACGGGAGGCAGCAGUGGGGAAUAUUGCACAAUGGGGGAAACCCUGAUGCAGCAACGCCGCGUGAGUGAGGAAGGAUUUCGGUAUGUAAAGCUCUAUCAGCAGGGAAGAGAAAAGAAGGUACCUGAAAAAGAAGCCCCGGCGAACUACGUGCCAGCAGCCGCGGUAAUACGUAGGGGGCAAGCGUUAGCCGGAUUUACGGGGUGUAAGGGGAUCGUAGACGGUAAGGCACGUCAGAAGUGAAAACCCACGGCUCAACCAUGGGACUGCUUUUGAAACUGUCAAACUAGAGUACGGGAGCGGUAAGCGGCAUUCCUAGUGUAGCGGUGAAAUGCGUAGAUAUUAGGAGGAACCCCAGUGGCGAAGGCGUCUUACUGGACCGAAACUGACGUUGAGGCUCGAAAGCGUGGGGAGCAAACAGGAUUAGAUACCCUUGUAGUC
rnacentral:rRNA from 1 species